CUACGGGCGGCAGCAGUGAGGAAUAUUGCACAAUGGAGGAAACUCUGAUGCAGCAACGCCGCGUGGAGGAUGACGCAUUUCGGUGUGUAAACUCCUUUUAUAUGUCAAGAAGAUGACGGUAGCAUAUGAAUAAGCACCGGCUAACUCCGUGCCAGCAGCCGCGGUAAUACGGAGGGUGCAAGCGUUACUCGGAAUCACUGGGCGUAAAGGACGCGUAGGCGGGAUAUCAAGUCAGGUGUGAAAUCCUACAGCUUAACUGUAGAACUGCACUUGAAACUGGUAACCUAGAGUAUGGGAGGGGGAGAUGGAAUUAGUGGUGUAGGGGUAAAAUCCGUAGAUAUCACUAGGAAUACCUAAAGCGAAGGCGAUCUCCUGGAACAUAACUGACGCUAAGGUGUGAAAGCGUGGGGAGCAAACAGGAUUAGAUACCCCCGUAGUC
rnacentral:rRNA from 1 species